AGUGAACGCUGGCGGUAGGCCUAACACAUGCAAGUCGAACGGCAGCACAGUAAGAGCUUGCUCUUACGGGUGGCGAGUGGCGGACGGGUGAGGAAUACAUCGGAAUCUACUUUUUCGUGGGGGAUAACGUAGGGAAACUUACGCUAAUACCGCAUACGACCUACGGGUGAAAGCAGGGGAUCUUCGGACCUUGCGCGAUUGAAUGAGCCGAUGUCGGAUUAGCUAGUUGGUGGGGUAAAGGCCCACCAAGGCGACGAUCCGUAGCUGGUCUGAGAGGAUGAUCAGCCACACUGGAACUGAGACACGGUCCAGACUCCUACGGGAGGCAGUAGUGGGGAAUAUUGGACAAUGGGCGCAAGCCUGAUCCAGCCAUACCGCGUGGGUGAAGAAGGCCUUCAGGUUGUAAAGCCCUUUUGUUGGGAAAGAAAAGCAGCAGGUUAAUACCCCGCUGUUCUGACGGUACCCAAAGAAUAAGCACCGGCUAACUUCGUG
rnacentral:rRNA from 1 species